CACUCCUACGGGAGGCAGCAGUGGGGAAUAUUGCACAAUGGGCGCAAGCCUGAUGCAGCGACGCCGCGUGGGGGAUGAAGGCCUUCGGGUUGUAAACUCCUUUCGCUAGGGACGAAGCUUUUUUGUGACGGUACCUAGAUAAGAAGCACCGGCUAACUACGUGCCAGCAGCCGCGGUAAUACGUAGGGUGCGAGCGUUUUCCGGAAUUACUGGGCGUAAAGGGCUCGUAGGUGGUUUGUCGCGUCGUCUGUGAAAUUCUGGGGCUUAACUCCGGGCGUGCAGGCGAUACGGGCAUAACUUGGGUGCUGUAGGGGUAACUGGAAUUCCUGGUGUAGCGGUGAAAUGCGCAGAUAUCAGGAGGAACACCGAUGGCGAAGGCAGGUUACUGGGCAGUUACUGACGCUGAGGAGCGAAAGCAUGGGUAGCGAACAGGAUUAGAAACCCCUGUAGUCCCAUGAU
rnacentral:rRNA from 1 species